AGAAUUGUUGUCAAGGCUACAUCACAGGAAUCUCGUUUCUUUGGUUGGAUAUUGUGAUGAAGAAUAUGAACAGGUACCCAGAAUAUAUUUCCCAAAUUUUUAAGUUCACCUCUAUAGUCUUCACAUUUUCAGUUAAAUUAAUCAAAUCCUGCCAACAGCUUGGCCCAUAUUAAGCCUUAAUCCCAAACUAGCUGGGGUUGUUUAUAUGGAUGAUUUUUUGCCUUUCAACUCUAUUGGACACUUAGUCUACAAUCCACUUAGGAACUCAAUUCUAUAAAUUGGAGGAUUCUAGGAGACUCUGGGGGAAAAAAGUUCAGGUUAUUAUUAUUAUUUUUUUUAACGAAAUAAGAAAACUCUACCAUGUCUCACCACUGAAGUGUCAUAAUAGGCAUAGGAUAAGCUGGAGGCAUAAGUCUCUGUUGUCUCUCACAUUGCUGCAAGCCUCAAAAGUCAAAACCCCAUGACGUCUCAUCCCAUGACCAUGUGGGAGUAAAAGCAUUAACAACUAGGCCACAAACUCUCAGACAAUAGUGCAAACUUUGAGAGGUGUAAAAAUCAUAUGUUUUGUUAUUUAGAACCAUUUCAAGCAAAAGAAAGAAAUUAUUUCAAUCUAGAAAUGAUAUUUAGGAUGUGCAGGAAAAUUUUUGUAUAUUUCCUUUAUAAGCAAUUCCACCAAUGAGGAAAAAAUUUUGGCAUUCUAUGCUAAAUAUUAGUCUUCUAUUGUUUUUACUGCUCCAGUGAUGUUAAAAUUAUCAUUUGGGAAAAGCUUAAAAUGGUUGCCAUUAUUUCUGCAGAUGUUGGUUUAUGAGUUUAUG
rnacentral:misc_RNA from 1 species